rnacentral:rRNA from 1 species
AGAGUUUGAUUAUGGCUCAGGAUGAACGCUGGCGGCGUGCCUAACACAUGCAAGUCGAACGGAGUUAUUAUUAGGAAGUCUUCGGAUGGAAUAAUAAUAACUUAGUGGCGGACGGGUGAGUAACGCGUGGGUAACCUGCCUCAUACAGGGGGAUAACAGUUGGAAACGGCUGCUAAAACCGCAUAAUAAGGAGAGACCGCAUGGUUUUUCUUUCAAAUAUUUAUAGGUAUGAGAUGGGCCCGCGUCUGAUUAGCUAGUUGGUGAGGUAAUGGCUCACCAAGGCGACGAUCAGUAGCCGGCUUGAGAGAGUGACCGGCCACAUUGGGACUGAGACACGGCCCAAACUCCUACGGGAGGCAGCAGUGGGGAAUAUUGCACAAUGGGGGAAACCCUGAUGCAGCGACGCCGCGUGAGUGAAGAAGUAUUUCGGUAUGUAAAGCUCUAUCAGCAGGGAAGAAAAUGACGGUACCUGACUAAGAAGCCCCGGCUAACUACGUGCCAGCCGCAGC